rnacentral:snoRNA from 1 species
AUGGAAGUGAUGAUUAUUUCCCCAGAUGAUCGACGCUGAACAAACUGAGCGUUUUUAUUUUCUCUUUGAAUUUAUUAAAAGAGAAUUCAAGCCAGGAAACUGAUCCAU